AGCGGACAUGGCUCCCAGCGUGCCAGCGGCAGAACCCGAGUAUCCUAAAGGCAUCCGGGCCGUGCUGCUGGGGCCUCCCAGGGCCGGUAAAGGCACCCAGGCACCCAGAUUGGCUGAAAACUUCUGUGUCUGCCAUUUGGCUACUGGGGACAUGCUGAGGGCCAUGGUGGCUUCUGGCUCAGAGCUAGGAAAAAAGCUGAAGGCAACUGUGGAUGCUGGGAAACUGGUGAGUGAUGAAAUGGUAGUGGAGCUCAUUGAGAAGAAUUUGGAGACCCCCUUGUGCAAAAAUGGUUUUCUUCUGGAUGGCUUCCCUCAGACUGUGAGGCAGGCAGAAAUGCUCGAUGACCUCAUGGAGAAGAGGAAAGAGAAGCUUGAUUCUGUGAUUGAAUUCAGCAUCCCAGACUCUGCUGAUCCGAAGAAUCACAGGAAGUCUGAUUCACCCCAAGAGUGGCUGUUCCUACCACGAGGAGUACAACCCUCCAAAAGAGCCCAUGAAAGAUGACAUCACUGGGGAACCCUUGAUUCGUCAAUCAGAUGAUAAUGAAAAGGACUUGAAAAUCCGCCUGCAAGCCUACCACACUCAAACCACCCGACUCAUAGAGUACUACAGGAAACGGGGGAUCCGCUCUGCCAUUGAUGCAUCCCAGACCCCUGAUGUCGUGUUCACAAGCAUCCUAGCAGCUUUCUCAAAAGCCACAUCCUAGUAUCAGAAGGCCAGGCGAGACUGCACCAC